GGGACGGAAGAGUCACUGAGCGGUUGACGGGUGAGUAACGCGUGGGUAACCUGCCUCAUACAGGGGGAUAACAGUUAGAAAUGACUGCUAAUACCGCAUAAGCGCACGUGAUCGCAUGAUCGAGUGUGAAAAACUCCGGUGGUAUGAGAUGGACCCGCGUCUGAUUAGCUAGUUGGUGAGGUAACGGCUCACCAAGGCGACGAUCAGUAGCCGACCUGAGAGGGUGACCGGCCACAUUGGGACUGAGACACGGCCCAAACUCCUACGGGAGGCAGCAGUGGGGAAUAUUGCACAAUGGGCGAAAGCCUGAUGCAGCAACGCCGCGUGAGUGAAGAAGUAUUUCGGUAUGUAAAGCUCUAUCAGCAGGGAAGAAAAUGACGGUACCUGACUAAGAAGCCCCGGCUAACUACGUGCCAGCAGCCGCGGUAACACGUAGGGGGCAAGCGUUAUCCGGAUUUACUGGGUGUAAAGGGAGCGUAAACGGCUCUGCAAGUCUGAAGUGAAAGCCCGGGGCUCAACCCCGGGACUGCUUUGGAAACUGUAGAACUAGAGUGCUGGAGAGGUAAGUGGAAUUCCUAGUGUAGCGGUGAAAUGCGUAGAUAUUAGGAGGAACACCAGUGGCGAAGGCGGCUUACUGGACAGUAACUGACGUUGAGGCUCGAAAGCGUGGCGAGCAAACAGGAUUAGAUACUCUGGUAGUCCACGCCGUAAACGAUGAAUGCUAGGUGUUGGGGAGCAAAGCUUAUCGGUGCCGCCGCAAACGCAUUAAGCAUUCCACCUGGGGAGUACGUUCGCAAGAAUGAAACUCAAAGGAAUUGACGGGGACCCGCACAAGCGGUGGAGCAUGUGGUUUAAUUCGAAGCAACGCGAAGAACCUUACCAAGUCUUGACAUCCCAAUGACCGGCACGUAACGGUGCCUUUCCUUCGGGACAUUGGUGACAGGUGGUGCAUGGUUGUCGUCAGCUCGUGUCGUGAGAUGUUGGGUUAAGUCCCGCAACGAGCGCAACCGUUAUCCUCAGUAGCCAGCAGUAAGAUGGGCACUCUGUGGAGACUGCCAGGGAUAACCUGGAGGAAGGUGGGGAUGACGUCAAAUCAUCAUGCCCCUUAUGAUUUGGGCUACACACGUGCUACAAUGGCGUAAACAAAGAGAAGCGAGACCGCGAGGUGGAGCAAAUCUCAAAAAUAACGUAUCAGUUCGGAUUGCAGGCUGCAACUCGCCUGCAUGAAGCUGGAAUCGCUAGUAAUCGCGGAUCAGAAUGCCGCGGAGAAUACGUUCACCGGGUAUUGUACACAGCGCCCGUC
rnacentral:rRNA from 1 species